AGCAGUAUAGUUUAGUGGUAAAAGCGAUGAGCUAGGACCUGAGAGGCCAGGGUUCAAAUCCCCACUCUGCCA